CGGAGGGUGCAAGCGUUAUCCGGAUUCACUGGGUUUAAAGGGUGUGUAGGCGGGCUGUUAAGUCAGUGGUGAAAUCUCCGGGCUCAACCCGGAAACUGCCAUUGAUACUAUCAGUCUUGAAUUUUGUUGAGGUAGGCGGAAUAUAUCAUGUAGCGGUGAAAUGCAUAGAUAUGAUAUAGAACACCGAUUGCGAAGGCAGCUUGCUAAACAAAUAUUGACGCUGAGGCACGAAAGCGUGGGGAUCAAACAGGAUUAGAUACCCUGGUAGUCCACGCCCUAAACGAUGAUUACUCGACAUACGCGAUACACAGUGUGUGUCUGAGCGAAAGCAUUAAGUAAUCCACCUGGGAGGUACGUCCGCAAGGAUG
rnacentral:rRNA from 1 species